AUUACGUCAAGCGGCUUACCCUCCCAAGCCGCUUUAAUCGGACGGGCAGGACACCUCCCAGGCUGUCGGUCAAUAUAGAAGCCCGGCGCCCUCCCCCCAGAGCCGGGCUUUUUAC
rnacentral:sRNA from 1 species